UAUGAUUUUUCCAUUGACUGGUUCUUCCUUGAAGAAUAAAGGAUUUCUUAGCCUGAGGAAGGCGAAAUAUAACGCCGAAACGUCGCUCUAGGAAUCCAAAGUGUUUUCAUCCAGUUCCUUAAACCGAGAAGUUAUCAAUUACUAAAUUCUGGAAGGAACGAGAACUAUCCACAAACAUAA